rnacentral:rRNA from 1 species
UACGGAGGGUGCAAGCGUUAAUCGGAAUUACUGGGCGUAAAGCGCACGCAGGUGGCUGAGUCAGUCGAUUGUGAAAGCCCUGGGCUUAACCUGGGAAUUGCAGUCGAUACUACUCAGCUAGAGUAUGGGAGAGGGUAGUGGAAUUCCCGGUGUAGCGGUGAAAUGCGUAGAUAUCGGGGGGAACAUCAGUGGCGAAGGCGUCUACCUGGCCCAAUACUGACACUCAGGUGCGACAGCGUGGGGAGCAAACAGG